UUCACCCAGUCACAGCCACAGCAGCACUUGAGGUCCACAGGAUCUGGACUUUGGAAGCUUUUAUCACAGGCUACUCUUUGUUUGGUUGAUGUUGUGGAUGGAAGUGAUUUAUGUGCUCUAAGUAGCAGUAGAGCCAAACAAUUAAUCAAAAUAUGAUUGAAAUUGCAUGACCAAGUGCAAUAUCCAAAUCACAGGAGCUGUGUUAUAAAUGAAGCAGCAUGGCGUUACAUACAUACAUACCCUGGCUACAAAUCACAUUCACCAGAUGUAAGGGAACAUGUUUGUUUGGCACAGACACCCUGCAAAAAUCACAUCAUCUGUAGAUUUUUCUCAGUGUAAAAGUUCAAAAAUGACCACUGAUUGUUCAGCCUUCCUUUACGUGCUACUGUGGAUAUCAAAUUAUGGAAUAGCUGGGGGAUAAAAAGGGAGCAGAUCUCCCUGUAAAGACGCACAGUGCUCACCAGCUUGACUGCUGUGAGUGACACAGGAAGGUUAGUGGAGAUAACAUCAAUAUGAGGGAAGUGAAGUAUUAAAGUAAUAACGGUGGUAUUUCUGUAUGUCUGCAUAGUGUAGUUUCCUUUGUGAGUUGUUUCGACUUGCAUUAAUUAGUAGUAUCAAUCAUCAGAGGCAAUGAAAGGUGUCAGUGUACAGGUGGAAACAGAGUGUCGAGUGUUGGCUAAUGUUAUCUCACAGGUAAAAUCAGGAUUCACUGUUACAUUUGAUCUGUUAAUCUAAAAAAACUUUUAUUAGUUAGUGUGAAGACAGGGCAGGUAUGAACUGAGUCAGUGAGUACAUGGUUUCCAUGACAACCAGCACAGCACCACAGUCUGGUCACUGAGCCUCCUGUCAGUGCCACACACUAUUUUCAAAAAAUCUGAUUCUAGUGGCUAGUAAGCUGCUUGUUUAGUUAUUCAAAUGAUAAAACAAUAAUAUUGUUCUAUUAUAAACUAAUUAGAUGAGAAACUAAUCUGAUGUCUCAGGAAUUGCAGUGAUGACAUCCCUGGCUCUUGUUAAUAUCAUAACUUUAAUCUGUAUGAUCACAGAAUUCAAUUUUGAAAAGCCUUGAGCAGGAAAACACAAUUACCGUCACAUCACACAUUAACUAAUCUAAUAAUACUGCUGCCAUGCUUAUAUUGUCAUUAGUGUGAAAUUAUGAUUGAAAUCGGCUAAACACUUUGAAUCAAGUUUAAUAUAUAUGUUAAACAUUUAUUGCAGUGUCCUGUGAUAUAUUGAGUCUGUAUUUGUCUUAAUUAUUUGUUUUUGAGUUGAGGGAGGGUGAUCUGACGAAGAAGGAAAAGAAUAUGCAAAAACAGAAGAUGAUGACACAGACAGCGGAGAGUCCGAUUAAAUAAGCAUGUAACAAUAGAUAGAAGCCACUUCUCUGGACCGCAGGAAAUAUAUAUAUUAAAAAAAACACUCAGAACUGGAACUCAAUUGAAGAUUUGCCUUGGUGAUGGCCAGGUUGAAAUUUGUUUGAACAAUGAUGGAAUAUCAGUAUACCUGAAAAAAGAGACUUGGCUGGCUUAGGCAUCACAUGCGCCAACACCACAGUCAGUAAUGACUGAUAAGCUCUGUGUUUUAUCCAUUUUGUUUCUAUGAGUCUUACAGAUAGAGAUGCCAGAUGCUGUGUAAUGUUCACUCAAGUGGCCAAAGAGCUGUAACAGUCAAAUAUGUGAUGGUAACAAACAGAGUUACUCCUGCCAAAACACAAAAUCCACCUAUAAGUUAAAAAAAUAAAUCACCUGUUACCAAGCUCCACCAGUUUCCAGCUGCUGAAUAAUCUUUAAAAACAGAGCAGCUUCUCAAAGCCAACACAACACACACAAGCACAGCGUUUCCUCUGCAGAUACUAUAUAUUGUGUCUUAUUGACACAUUAAUACAAGCUUAUUUUCAUCUUCCUUGCACUGAUGAGAUUGCACAUUGUUGACAUUUUGAGAGGCAAAGAAAAUGUUCGAGCCCCUUCGGCAAACCUUUUCUAAUUGCUGCAAUUUAAAGAUAUUACAGUUAUCACAUCAGGCUUGUUUGGAAGUGACUAAUGACCGUUUUAGAGUGAAAUGUCAGCCCUAAUUACUGGCUCUUGCUCCAACAAAGCCUGAUGCUGCUAUCCUUGCCACACACUUUUGAAUGACAUUUGCAAUGGCUCAAAGAUUCUGUUGAACAGUAAUUGCCCUGUACUGUUUUUUUCAUGUUAUGUUUAAUGACUUUGGAGGAUUUGAAUCCUCCUCCAGCAGGUGGCAGUGAAAUAUCAGGUCUUCCUCUCAAGCCUAAGAACAUUGUCUUCCUCCGUCAUUUCUCUAGCUCAAAAACAAUGUGCUUUGGACUUACUAACAUAAAUACCCCAUAAUUCUGUUUCAUAGUGCUGGAGUUCAGAUCUAAUAUUUACUCUGCAUGUGCAAUUAAAAAAACACACCACGCUGUAGAACAGUUUGACCUGCUGUCAGACAGUGGCUCUUUUUCUGUAGGUGGUAGUUUUUUUCAUACGUUAAUACCCCCCCCCAACAUUUCACUGGGGUAUCCGAUAUAUGGUGCCAUUUAUUUAAAGAAUUUUGAAAAAAUUCUAAUUAAAAAUAAGUAAAUACAAUUUGCAGAUAGCCUGCAGUACACUGGCCUCUAAGGACAAGGCACAUACAAGAGAGGAUGUGCUCAAAAUCCAGAAAUGCUUAAACACAUACAAGAGGUGCAAACAAUGCAGGAAGUGCUCCAGGGCAUUUAUUUAUGUAGCACUUUCCAACUCAAAGGCAAUUCAGAGUUUUACAUAGAGUAUGCAUCAGAGCAACAUUAAACAAACAAUAAGCAAUAAAAACCAGGAUCAAAUAAAACAAGAUUUUAAAAGACUAGUGAUGGGCUCUGUUUGUAUAAGCAGCAACAUUACAGAUAGUUUUGUGUGUCCAUCACGUACUCACAUUUCUGUUUUCAGAGAUGUGAGGACCCACUUGCUUUCAGUGUGCACCAUUGUCCUGGUGAGAGCAGUCUUAUCCCCAUUUAGUAAUUUUCCACUCUCUCUCUUGCUCUGUUGUCCAAAGCAUUUAGAAAUAUGUUAGAAUUCCUUUUAGAGGAUAAAAUGUGGUCUCAGAUUUGAAUUGGAUAAACUGACCACAAAUUAGAGAUCUAAAUGGUUACUCUCUCACCUGAAAAAAAUAUCAAAACUGAACCUAAGUUUAGGCUAAGUUGGCUAUGAAGCCUAAUGGGAAUUCACAAGUAUCACUCCUGUUAGCAUCCCAGAGCCCAUUUGUUGUAUUUCUGGCAUAUUUUCUUUAAUGUUUGUGCUUCCUGUCUUUCUGUCAGUGCUGUCUAAUACUAAUUACUUUGACAAGUCUUGCUGGGGUUAAAUGCGUUUCACCUAUUUUAUGUUGUAGCUGUGAAUAAACUUAAAUAGUAUAAAUGCAAAAUGAUGUAUACGGUAUGAUGUUGGACUGUGUCUGCCCCACUGUGCCUCUUCUCCCCUUUACGGACGUUGAUUUGACUCUGUGACUACGUCUGCUGCUGGUUUAAAGGUGGAACAACAGUGUCCCCCAUUCUGCCUCUGCACCUUUUAUAAAGGAGGCAGAGACAGAAUAAUGGCACAACAUUCCUGCUUUGAGCAGGCUGUAUAAAAGGGGCUAUAGUGACAAAUGUUUUCUGUUCCCUCGUAGACCACAUCAUUAAUGAAUUUUAAAAUGUAUUUAGCUCUUGAAGCCUUUAUUAAUAACCAGCGUAAACAUAAGGGACACUUGCUCUUCACUUUUCAUUCAUCAAUUUAAUCAUUUAUCAGUUUAUUUUAUAAUAUUUAUUUUGUAUUACAGCUGCCGUAAAUACCAGAAAAUAGUGAUUUUAAAAAAUGCUCAUGGUUUCCUAUGACCAAGGUGACAUCUCAAAAUGUCAUGUUUUGCCUAAUUGGCAGUCCAAAAUCCAAAUAUAUUAAGAAAGAAGAAAAAUAAGAAAAAGUUAGAAACAUCAGAUUUUAUUUCUUUGGGGCUAUAUAGAUGAAAUUACCUGACUCACAUGACUGCACUGUAAAAAAUAUAUUUGUAAGUAAAAGUAAAUAAAGCUAUUAAAAGUACUUAUCAUGUACAAAAAUAGGUCUGUGAGUGUGAGGGGUAUUAUUAUAUAUUAUAUAUUAGUAUUAGUGGUCUAUUAACGUCUAUGCAGUAUUUUACUGUAGUAGUUGGUCAUGGUGGGGCUAAUUACUUUAAAUAAUCUUAGCUAAUUUACAGCGCAUCAUAUAUAUGCUCAUCAUAUGAUUUAUAUGUAAAAUCUUCAUCUGCAAUGUAACUUGUAACUAAAGCUGCACUGAAAAAAGUGAAACAUCUCUGUCAUUCAUUUGAAGUGCAUUUUUACAUUACUCUGGUGGAAUAAUGUGGUUUUCAGUUUAAACCUGUAUUGUUCCGUUUGCCCAAAAGCAAAUAACACAUCCGACAGAGAGAAUUAAAAGCAGCACUUCGAUUUUGUAUUUCGACUUUGGAUUUCGUGUCAUGUGACCAUGUGACCUCAUAUCAAGUGAGGUCGCCCUCUGCCAAGUGCCUACUGUCCGCCAUUACUCUGCUUCGUCGAGUGAAGUCAUUUCUUCCUCAAAAAGUCAUUUAAACAAGAGCCUCAAGAUGAAUCUUAACAGACAAUGUCUGCUAAAAUGCCUCAUUAUGUACCUUUGGGGAAAAAGUGAACAGUCUUAUCAAGGUGUAAGAUUGAGAGGUGUACAAUGGCUGUGUCUUUCGUCAGGGAAGAGGAGGAUCCUCUUCAGCCACCACAUGACAUUGGGAUUGUCGCUGAAGGUGUGGAAGUCCUUAAUGAGUUGUCAUCAGUUGCACAUGCAUCUGCCAUGCUGUUUGGCCUCACCUAUGCUUUAAACAUGCUCUGAGCUAUUAUUUCACUUAUUUUUUUGAUGUUUUUUUAAUUAUCUUGUAUUUGUUUAUUUUUUGUACGUAAUGGAAAAUGUGAUGCAUUUUAAAAAGACUUCACAAUAAAUGUCGGUCUUUUGAAGAGAAUAUUCCGGUCUUUAUUUAUGUAUUAUAUUUAAAAUUUAGGCAAAAAUAUAUAUAUAUAUAUUGCUUAAGAUGAAAUUUUUGUACUGAAUCAAAAGUUUAACUUGAGAAAAGUUAAUAAUAUUGCUUGUAACAAAAUUACAGCAAUUAUUGUUUAUUCUAAGGUAAAAACUAGACUUAGAUGUAAGAAUAAAUAUUAGGUUUUCCCAAAUUAAAAAAUGUAUUUGUAACAGUAAAAAAUGGUGUAUGGUCUUUAUAAUAAAUAAUCUUGUUACUUUGA